CUCUGGAAGUGAAACGUGGUGCCGCCCCACACUAAAUAGCCAAUCAAUAUACAGUAAAUUUCGAAAGGUGGAAGCCACGGCAAGCAUGGCAAGGUGAAUUAAUUGUCCAAAUAUUGGGCACUUAGUGAAAGAAAGAGAAUCAGACGAGGCAAGAAAAUGUGAAAUUCAAAAUGUGGAUUAGAUAACUUGGUCAGCUACAUGCUACAGCCUACACUUUUAAUAUCAGGACACUGAGCAGCUGUUAAGGUCCGGCAAAAGUAAAAAAAAUUAAAAGGUGCAAAAAGAAAGACCAGAUCUGGAUAAGCAUCUCAAGAUUUCUGUUUUUACAAAAUGUGAUAUAGUUCAAAGUGUGUUAAAAAUGCUGAGUAAUUAAAGAAGUCCUUGGAUCAUGUGGAUUUAUUUUGAAUACAGAUAAGCAGGAUUUUUGAAACCAUAUAGCCAGAAGAGACCCUCUAAUUAUUUCAGAUUUAGUGAAAGACCAAGAUAGGAUUUUUUGGCCAUGGCAACAUAUGACAUGAAAGAUGGAACUUUCUUUUAUGAGGAUUGCAUUACACUGCAUUAUGUGAUAUUAAGUGAAAAAAUACUGAACUGUAUCAUAAACAGUUUAUACCUGUUCAGCUCAGGAGAAUUCAAGCACAGGAUAUGAUUCAUAUUCAUCUUGUGAUCUAUAAAGAUUGAUAGUGAGUAAGUGAAAUAACAUUACUAACCUGAUCCAACUGGCACCAUGACCCCUUUGCGGGCCAGUAUGAAAUGUGACAUCAAGGGAGUUAUCGGUCUCUCAGGUUUCGCCUUGCCAAUAUGAUCUGGGUAUGCACACGUAUGCCCUUUUUUCCACAUAACUCCCAACUCUGCACGCAACUUGGGACAUAUAGAAAAAUGUUCUGCCGACUUGUAGGAAAAUAUGCCCACUCGGAAACAUAGUAAAUGCCCUUCAGUUGGAAUGUGAGAGUUACAUAAAUUUAAAGACCUUAAAUGACUUGAAAUAUCUUUUAAACAGUUAGAUAUGGGGCUGAGGCUGCUUUCUGAUGGAUAAUAUAUAGAUGGUCCACAAAUAUGCCUGUGAAAAUUCGAAAAACUACAAGUUUGAUCUGAACAGAGAGUGUUGUCUGCUUCCAUUGUUUACUGAAUACACUAAAAUGUAUUUCCU